rnacentral:lncRNA from 1 species
UUCAUUUCCUUUUUCGGUUUCUAUUUCCUUAUUCGGUUUCUAUUUCCUAAUUGGAUUUUCGUUUCCUUAUUUGAUUUCCAUUUCCUUAUUCGAUUUUCAUUUCCUAUUCGGUUUCUUUUUCUUUUUCCUUUUUCAAUAUUCAUUUCCUUUUUCGGUUUCUAGUUCCUUAUUCAGUUUCUAUUUCCUUAUUGGAUUUUCAUUUCCUUAUUCAAUUUCAAUUUCCUUAUUCGGUUUCUUUUUCCUUAUUCGGUUUCUUUUUCCUUAUUCGGUUUCUUUUUCCUUUUUCAAUAUUCAUUUCCUUUUUCAGUUUCUGUUUCCUUAUUCGCUUUCUAUUUCCUUAUUUGGUUUCUAUUUCCUUAUUUGGUUUCUAUUUCAUUAUUGGAUUUUCGUUUCCUUAUUCGAUUUUCAUUUCCUUAUACGAUUUUCAUUUCCUUAUUCGGUUUCUUUUUCCUUUUCCAAUAUUCAUUUCCUUUUUCGGUUUCUAUUUCCUUUUUCGAUUUUCAUUUCCUUAUUCAGUUUCCAUUUCCUUUUUCGAUAUUCAAAUUUUGAAAAAUUUUACAAGUCCAAACUGAUUUUUUUUUCUCCUUCAAAAUUUUGUUUCCUCAAAAAAAAUUUUCCUCAAUUUUUUUUU